UAGGAAAAGAUGCACAUCCUCUGCUCUCCUGAACCAAUAAGAGCCAGUUCCAAGACACCAUAACUGAUUGCUAUAUUUUAGGAUUUUUUUCUGAUUAUAAAGAUUUAUAAUUGUUCCACUAUGUCUUUCUUGAGUUGCAACAACCAGCUAUGCACACAACCUUCCAGGUGUGGAUUCACUAUACUUCUAUUAAAAGCUAUAUAAUUACUGGCCUGGAAAAGUCAAAAAGGUGCUGUAAACUGAGUGUAUCUAUUUUCGGCCACAGACAAAGAAGAUUGAAUUAACCACACUCCUCCAUUCCUAGCAUAAGCCUUGUGUCUUGUUUAUUGUUGUUUUAUUUAUUUUCUCUCAUCCCCAUACCUCUCUCCCAAUCUCCUCAACCCCAUAGCACCUAUUUUAAUUAUUUGAAUAUAUAUCUUUUGUGUCUGUGUUCUUUCCAAAUGGAUAUUUGUUUGCACAUAAUUAUGCACACACAUGCACACACACAUAUAUAAAACUCUGUAACUUUCAUUACACAGUAUGUCUGUAAGAUUCAUCCAUGUUGC